AUACGGAGGAUCCGAGCGUUAUCCGGAUUUAUUGGGUUUAAAGGGUGCGCAGGCGGCCAUUUAAGUCAGCGGUUAAAUCGUGGGGCUCAACCCCAUUCUGCCGUUGAUACUGGGUGGCUUGAUUGCGGUCGAGGUUGGCGGAAUUCGUUGUGUAGCGGUGAAAUGCAUAGAUAUGACGAAGAACACCGAUUGCGUAGGCAGCUGACCAGACCGCAAAUGACGCUCAUGCACGAAAGUGCGGGGAUCGAACAGGAUUAGAUACCCUGGUAGUCCGCACAGUAAACGAUGAAUACUUGUUUUCGGCGAUAUAAUGUCGGAGGCAAAGCGAAAGCGAUAAGUAUUCCACCUGGGGAGUACGCCGGCAACGGUGAAACUCAAAGGAAUUGGCGG
rnacentral:rRNA from 1 species